UUGACGAUCACCACUGAACAUGAUGUGUUGAAGACCUCCAAGGAGAAGGGUGCCACCGAGAUUAAGGGGAGCACCAGGAGGCCACCUCUCGAGCAAAUGCUACGAGAGAAUAACUAUGCCAGGCGACUGAAAUAGCCGUUGGCGCCUUCUCGGAUCUCCCUUGAAGCAUGGAGGAGGCUUGCAAGCACUCUAGCACGCGCGCGGAUGUGGCCGAGGAGAAAUCCUUCUAGCCGCAGUUCCAAGCACUAGCGCACCCUCCAAUCCUCGGCGACCAGCUAAAUUAGCUGGUGGAGCUAUGGCGAGUGGCUAAGCCUUCCAUGGAGGACCUCUGCAAGGCCUUAUGGUUGAGGGAUCCUCUGCCAACUGUUGGUACCAUGAAGAUUUUGAUCAUGCACCCAACUAUGCAUGCGCCACGGUCACCCCUGGACCAUGCUCAAGAAGAUAGAAGAGCUGCUUGCUACUACUCCCUUUAGUGGUGGUAUGCAGAUCUUCAUAAAGAACAGUAGCAAUCAACCUCACCAGAUGAAGCUUGGAUCUGGUGGUGGCAUGUAGAUCUUUGUUUAAAAGAUCUCCAUGCCCAUCAAGUGAGCCCACUCAAGACUAGCAAGAAUCAAAUCAAGAUAUCCGACAACAACCAUCGCCGGCCAAGACCCGUGAACAACCUUACCCGACAAUGGCUGUCCUAGCUGGUGCGCACUCAUCUAGCCUUCGACAGCAAGCUACCUCCUCACCUAUGCAUGGCACAACCAUUCUGCGUCGAAAGAACCCUUGUGCCACACGGCCGGUGGGCGGGCGUGCCAGGAGAUGGACAAGACACAAGAGGUGAAUCACUCACCCACACCGUCGCAUGGUGUACAUCUGUGCUGAGGCGUGUCACGGCCCGCGCAGGUGUCACUAUGGUCGGUGCUGAAAAUACUAGAGUUCGUUCCCGGAAGACAGAAGACGAUGACACACCGCCGUGCAUUUAAUGCACUCACCUCGGAACUAGACCACUGCCUUAGCAUGGAAGACAUUGUGGUACCCCUUGAGAUAUAAAAGGAGGGCGAGGCUAAGUCAAAGACAACCCCGAGAGGAGGAGAAACAAGUAGAACAAUGUUGGACACUUAUUAGAACACCAGUAGGAGCAUAGUACGCUUCCCGUUCCUGGGAGGGACUAGUAGCUCUUAAUCCACCCACAUAAACACACAAAAAGCAGGAGUAGGCAUUACGCAUCCAUGCGGCUCGAAUCUGGGUAAAUCGUUGUGUCCAUUUCACAUAUUUCAGUACUGUAGGUCCUCAUCUUUGUGCCCCA